rnacentral:ncRNA from 1 species
CUAACAAAUGUGCGAGCGUAUAUAUGUUACGAACUAUAACAGAGAAUGAAAAUUCUUAUAUUUACGCGUAAUUAAUGUAAUUAAUUGGUAGAUCUUUAGGGUGUUUCCCUAAUUUGCAUACCAUGCCGGUUGGCGAUUAUGCUUAAUUGAGUAUGAGUAUAUUUGUUAGGACCCGAGAGGCUUUGAACUAAGCGUGAUGAGAUUGAAGUCAGACGAAAGUCUGAUGGAGGAUCGAAUUGAUACUGACGUGCAAAUCGUUCAUUUCAAUCACGUUUAGGGGCGAAAGACUAAUCGAAAAGCCUAUUAGCUGG